UCCUCACAGAGACCUUCUGCGGAAAUUAGCUAACAAACUCUGUAGAUGAGGCUGGCCUUGAACUCAGAAAUCUACCUGCCUCUGUCCCCUGAAUGCUGGGAUUAAAGGUGUGGGUCACUACAACUGCCUCUGUUAUGAUGCUAUGAUCAGCCCAUGGACAGCAAGGGUUUGGAAGGAAAGCCCCAGUACAAAACCAAAACAAAACAGCAACAGCAAAAACUUAUUCUAAAAGUUGAUAGAGACCUGCAACGCACUUGGACUGCAACUGAGAAAGACACUUUGGAACACAGAACCUUUCUAGGGCUGAGAUUUAUAGGUGUGAACUGCCACCCACGUAGCUGCUGCAUCAGAACCAUCACAUCGCCACCACCAUCAUUAGCAGCAGCAACAGCAACAACAGCAUCUUGUUUUGCAUCGUUCAGUAUCAAAUUCAAGAUUUGACUUGGGCUGAUUGGCAGAGCCUUACUGUUUCUCCUGGAUCCACCUGGACCUGCUGUUGCUGGUUCAUGAAUGGCGUUUGCCAGUGGAUUGAGCUGCUGCUGCUGAUUCAUGUGAACUGAACUGCUGAUCUCCUGACAAGGCACAUU